rnacentral:rRNA from 1 species
CUGCGCUGCUUACCAUGCAAGUCGAACGGGCGUAGCAAUACGUCAGUGGCAGACGGGUGAGUAACGCGUGGGAACGUACCUUUUGGUUCGGAACAACUGAGGGAAACUUCAGCUAAUACCGGAUAAGCCCUUACGGGGAAAGAUUUAUCGCCGAAAGAUCGGCCCGCGUCUGAUUAGCUAGUUGGUGAGGUAAUGGCUCACCAAGGCGACGAUCAGUAGCUGGUCUGAGAGGAUGAUCAGCCACAUUGGGACUGAGACACGGCCCAAACUCCUACGGGAGGCAGCAGUGGGGAAUAUUGGACAAUGGGGGCAACCCUGAUCCAGCCAUGCCGCGUGAGUGAUGAAGGCCCUAGGGUUGUAAAGCUCUUUUGUGCGGGAAGAUAAUGACGGUACCGCAAGAAUAAGCCCCGGCUAACUUCGUGCCAGCAGCCGCGGUAAUACGAAGGGGGCUAGCGUUGCUCGGAAUCACUGGGCGUAAAGGGUGCGUAGGCGGGUUUCUAAGUCAGAGGUGAAAGCCUGGAGCUCAACUCCAGAACUGCCUUUGAUACUGGAAGUCUUGAGUAUGGCAGAGGUGAGUGGAACUGCGAGUGUAGAGGUGAAAUUCGUAGAUAUUCGCAAGAACACCAGUGGCGAAGGCGGCUCACUGGGCCAUUACUGACGCUGAGGCACGAAAGCGUGGGGAGCAAACAGGAUUAGAUACCCUGGUAGUCCACGCCGUAACGAUGAAUGCCAGCCGUUAGUGGGUUUACUCACUAGUGGCGCAGCUAACGCUUUAAGCAUUCCGCCUGGGGAGUACGGUCGCAGAUUAAACUCAAGGAGU